rnacentral:snRNA from 1 species
ACUGGCACAAGAAGAACCUUAUAUAUUAGUAACAAUACAGAGAAGAUUAGCAUGGCCUCUACACAAGAAUAACACACACAAAUCGAGAAAUAGUCCAGAUUUUA